rnacentral:rRNA from 1 species
GGAGUUAGCCGAUGCUUAUUCCUCAGGUACCGUCAAAAUUCUUCCCUGAGAAAAGAGGUUUACAAUCCAAGAACCUUCCUCCCUCACGCGGUAUUGCUCCGUCAGGCUUUCGCCCAUUGCGGAAAAUUCCCCA